UAACAAAUCGGGAGGUGACAGAGUCGG
rnacentral:piRNA from 1 species